rnacentral:rRNA from 1 species
AAAGAACUUUGAAGAGAGAGUUCAAGAGUACGUGAAACCGCCCAGAGGUAAACGGGUGGAUCCGCAAAGUCGGUCCGCGGAAUUCAGCGCGGCGCGCGGCCCGGGGUCGCCGUGGUUCGGGAUCCCUGUGAACCGACCGCGGUGCCGAGCCGGGCUCCGCCGCGUGCACUUUCCGCGGACAGAGAGCCACAACCGGUUCGGUGAGCUGCGGCGACAGGCCGGGAGGGUUGUAGGUGGGGGCGCUCGCGUCCCUACCAGCCUUCCCCGGUUAGCCGCCGCCGGACCGAGGGACCGCCACGCGCUUCGAGGCCGCCCUCCCCUCCGGGUGAGUUCGACUGGGAGAGACUGGGCAACCGUGUCUCCCGACCGCUCACCCGCGAUCGGCGCGGGGCUGGCCGGGCGCGAACAGUGAGGGUUUGUGGCAAGUCUGUCGGCACUCCACCCGACCCGUCUUGAAACACGGACCAAGGAGUCUAACAUGCGCGCGAGUCAUUGGGCGGUACGAAACCCAAAGGCGCAGUGAAAGCGAGGGUCGUGAAAGCGGCCCAGGUGGGAUCCUCUCCUCUCCGAGCAAUCUGUGAGGGGUGGC